AUACGUAGGUGGCAAGCGUUGUCCGGAUUUACUGGGCGUAAAGGGCGCGUAGGCGGCGCGGUAAGUCUGGAGUGAAAGUCCUGCUUUCAAGGUGGGAAUUGCUUUGGAUACUGCCGCGCUUGAGUGCAGGAGAGGUUAUCGGAAUUCCCGGUGUAGCGGUGAAAUGCGUAGAGAUCGGGAGGAACACCAGUGGCGAAGGCGGGUAACUGGACUGCAACUGACGCUGAGGCGCGAAAGUGUGGGGAGCAAACAGGAUUAGAUACCCUGGUAGUCCACACUGUAAACGAUGAAUGCUAGGUGUAAGAGGUAUCGACCCCUUUUGUGCCGGAGUCAACACAAUAAGCAUUCCGCCUGGGGAGUACGGCCGCAAGGUUGAAACUCAAAGGAAUUGACGGGG
rnacentral:rRNA from 1 species